rnacentral:rRNA from 1 species
UACGUAGGGCGCAAGCGUUAUCCGGAAUUAUUGGGCGUAAAGAGCUCGUAGGCGGUUUGUCGCGUCUGCCGUGAAAGUCCGAGGCUCAACUCCGGAUCUGCGGUGGGUACGGGCAGACUAGAGUGAUGUAGGGGAGACUGGAAUUCCUGGUGUAGCGGUGAAAUGCGCAGAUAUCAGGAGGAACACCGAUGGCGAAGGCAGGUCUCUGGGCAUUAACUGACGCUGAGGAGCGAAAGCAUGGGGAGCGAACAGG